rnacentral:rRNA from 1 species
UACGUAGGGUGCAAGCGUUAAUCGGAAUUACUGGGCGUAAAGCGUGCGCAGGCGGUUAUGUAAGUCAGAUGUGAAAUGCCCGGGCUUAACCUGGGAACUGCAUUUGUGACUGCAUGGCUAGAAUCUGGCAGAGGGGGGUAGAAUUCCACGUGUAGCAGUGAAAUGCGUAGAUAUGUGGAGGAAUACCGAUGGCGAAGGCAGCCCCCUGGGCUAAGAUUGACGCUCAUGCACGAAAGCGUGGGGAGCAAACAGG